rnacentral:lncRNA from 1 species
CUCACCACUAGCAUAGACAAAAGAUAAAAAAGAAAAAAAUAAAUUUAGGAAACACCUAUAAUUUGGAAUUGAGAUAAAUAAAUCAGUCCAGCAAAAGAUAGAGAAGAUAAGGUCCCCGAGGUAGAAGGAGAGCCAGGAGCAUACAUUGUUGCCAUAUUCAAGCAAAUAUUUGAUUAAGUUUCCAUUAUUUGGCUAGUCUGAACUUCUAGUUUGCAGAUAUGCAUUGCCCUGUGGAGAUAAUUCUGAAUAGCUAUCAACUUUUCAAGGAACUGGUAUGUUCUAUACAACAGAACUGUGGAAAUGUUACACUAAUGAUUUUGACUUUGCUUGGUUUUUAUAUUUUCAUGAUGGAGGAGAUCUGACUAUACUUAUAGGGAGAAAGGAAGGAUUAAGAAAAAAGCAGUGUGAAGAUGUAGAGAAAAGUAAAUUUUAAAAUAAGGAUUUAAGAUAAAAUGUGAAGAAAACAUUCUGUUAAAAGUGGAACAGGAUAUAAAUUUCCCUUUAAAUAAUGGGCUGUUUCAUUAAAAAAUAAAAUAUACGGGAAUAUGUUUAACAGGAACUUUUCAAUACCUGUGUGAUGAGAGAUAGAAAACAUUGUUUAUUUUAUUUUUUUCCAUUUUUUAAAUUACUCAAAUGAAUUUAUCACAUCUGUAGUUGUAUAAUGAUCAUAACAAUCUGAAUUCACAGGAUUUCCAUCCCACAGCCCAGGCACAUUCCCCCCACCCCCCAAACUGUCUCAUUAGGAAACCAUUAGUUUUUCGAUGUCUGUGAGUCAGUAUCUGUUCUGCAAAGAAGUUCAUUCUGUCCUUUUUUCAGAUUCCACAUGUCAGUGAUAGCUUUUGAUGUUGGUGUCUCAUUGUAUGACUGACUUCACUUAUCAUGAUAAUUUCUAGGUCCAUCCAUGUUGCAAAAAAUGCUGGUAUUUCGUUCUUUUUAAUGGCUGAGUAGUAUUCCUUUGUGUAUAUGUACCACAUCUUGAUCCACUCCUCUGUCAAUGGACAUUUAGGUUGUUUGCAUGUCUUGGCUAUUGUAUAGAGUGCUGCUAUGAACAGUGGAGUACAUGUGUCUUUGCAAGUUACAGUUUUCUCUGGGUAGAUGCCCAGGAGUGGGAUUGCUGGAUCAAAUGGUAGUUCUAUGUUUAGUUUUCUGAGCUAUCUCCAUACUGUUUUCCACAGUGGUUGCACCAAUUUACAAUCCCACCAACAGUGUACUAGUGUUCCUGUUUAAAUUGUAGAGGCUGAAAGUUCACAAUCAAGGUGCCAGGAAAGCUGGAUUCCUCUGAGGCCUCUUUCCAUAUUUUGCAGAUGGUCCCUGUUCUUAUGGUGUCCUCACCUGGCCUUUCUCUAUGCUUGAAUAUCUGUGGUGUUUCUCCCUCUUCUUAUAAGGGCAACAUUCCCAUUGGAUUAAGGCUCCACUCUUAUCUCAUUCAGCCUCAAUUACUUCUUUAAAGGCAUUAUCUCCAAGUAUAGUUUCAUGGGCAGGGGAGUUAGGACUUAAACAAAUGUAUUUGGGAGGGACACAAUUCUGUC